rnacentral:sRNA from 1 species
GACUUUUUAAUAAUAGUCAUUCUGACUGAUGUGAAAUGGAGUCUCUUUGUGGUUCUGAUUCGCAUCUCUGAUGAUGCAUGAUGUUGACCAGUUUUUAAUAUGUUUGUUGACCACUUGUAUUUCUUCUUUUAAGAAGUGUCUGUUCAUAUCCUUUGCCCUUUCACUUCUAUGCACCAAUAACACCCAGGCUGAGAGUCAAACCAAGAGCACAAUCCUAACUACAGUAGCCACAAAGAAAAUGAAAUACCUAGUAAUACACCUAAUCAAAAACAUGAAAGCACUCUCUACAGGUAGAACUACAAAACAUUGCUGAAAGAAAUCAGAGAUGAUUCUCUGAAAAAGAAGUCAGAUUAGAAAUGAUUCUCUGAAAAAGGAAUCAUCUCUGAUUUCUUUCAGCAGUGUGUUUUUUGUUUGUUUGUUUGUUUUGAGACAGAGUCUUGCUCUGUCGCCAAGGCUGGAGGGCAAUGGCAUGAUUUCAGCUCACUACAACCUCCUGCUCCUGGGUUCGAGUGAUUCUCCUACCUCAGCCUCCUGAGUAGCUGGGAUUACAGGAGGCCGAGAAAAUGUUAGAAAUUGGGGGAGACAAGUUUCCCUUAGAGAGCAGGAAGUUACUAAGUAGUCCUGGAAAGAACAUCAGUUGCAGAUGUGACCCCUCUGAGAUUAAUAUAUCUGAUGAAAUGCCUAAAACUACAGUUUGGAAAGCUCUCAGUAUGAAUUCUGGAAAUGCAAAGGAAAAGAGUCUCUUCAACUAAGAGUCUUUGCUGGGAUGGAAGAUUUGGGCCGUGUGGUGCCUCAGGGAAGUUCUGGUUACAGAGAAAAUGGUGAGUCUCUCAGAGAAGAAGCAAGACCAAGUCUGGCCCUGUCCUUGGUCAUCUCAAAGCCAUGCCGAAGCAUUCAGUUAUUCUUGGUGUGCAUUGGAGGGCAUCCAGCUAUCCCCAUACCAGAAGCCAGUCACCAGAUGUGAAUGUGGAAGCAGAAGGCCACCUCCUGUUGGUUCUUCUCCUCUUCCUUCUUUUUCUCUUUAGAACGGCCACCAUUGAAGACCUAACUUCCCAUUUUCCAGACGUUUUCUCUGAAAUUCUCUGCUGGCCUGCCAAGCCAUAUGGAUUCAUUCUGCCACUGAGGAGUCCUUCAGUGAGGCCCCUCUUCCUAAAGGACGGAGUGGGGAGUAGGAGGGGAACAGAGAGGACAUCCUCUCUGGCUCUCCAGUGCUCUUAGUGUCUGCAGGCUCCUAGGCAGCCCUGGGCCUUGGUUUGAUUACCUCCCCUGGGGGAUGCUGGUCAGACCCAGAGGUUGUCAGGAGGUCAGCUACCAGGAAGAUCCAUGAUCUGGGCAUUGGCAGUGCCUGCCACCACAGCCAGGAAGAUGCCUCUGACCUGGGUGCAUCUCCAUCACUCCCUAGCAGCAGCCUUCAUAACUGGCAAGAAUCUUGGAUGAUACAAGAGCCAAGAAGGGACAUUUGAGUUGUGUCGCUUAGAUAGGAAAGGGAUCCAGGGAAAAUCAACAGUAAGUGAGGGUGAGCAGCGUCUCUUGGUUUUCAUUGAGGAUAGAGUAAGAGAUUGAGUUUAGAUUGCAACAGAAGGAAUUAGUUUAGAUACCAGGAAGGACUUCCUAGCCUGAAGAUUUGUCAUAGUGUCUGCUUUCUAGAUAUCUGGGAAAGAUUUGAUAAUAGUUGUUUGUGAAUAGAAAGGAGGAUAUGAUGUUUUUAUUGGCCAUUUUGCGGGACUCUUCAACUUCUUGCUGCUGUCUCUUGAGGAUACAUUCCAAUUCCAUCCUGGCGAGAUCCAAGUGCUUACGUACUGUCUCCUUAGCUGCCUUAGUAGUGAACGAUCAUCAGUUCAAUGAACAAAAAUCACCUUCACCCAUGUGGUUUCUUCAUCAUCGUGGAUUUCUUUUGGUUGACAGACAUUCUGGCUCUCAGAUGCAAAAAGUCACUCUCGGAAAUGAACUGUAAGUGGUGAAAUUAGUUUUGGUAUUUAAUUUAAAACUACAUUUAUAGUUUUUCUCUUCUAUGUUGCAAUGAAUGUAAAGUAUUUGGGAUCCAGUCCUUAUAAACCUCUCCUUCCUUUGUGCACAGAAUGUAACUAGCAAGCCCAUUAGCACCCAGAUAAUUCUAUCAUGUUAGUUUUCCAUCCUGGAAAAUCUUUGUACAGUGGGAAGUUCCCCGAUGUGUUUUUCUUUCUUAGGUGAAGGGUUGGCUAUAUUACUUUAUUGAAUUUUGCAUUCCUUAGACUUUUAAAAUAUACUAAUGUAUUCUAGUCUUACUCUAAAGACCUUUGAUGUUAAAGGAAUCCUUCAUUUAUUUCAUAUUCCCUAUCUCAUAGGGCCACAAUUAUUUUAAUACAGAGAUGAUUUUCAAAAUAUUUUAACAACUGGUACAGGACAGAUACCAGCCACUCAGAAGGGAUGCCUGCUGUAAACAAGCAGUAUGUAUGGUUGUACCAAUGCCUAUUGGCUGAACAUUAUGCUACUUUCAGAUAUUAAAAUGAUGUUCCUUUGAAUCAUG